rnacentral:rRNA from 1 species
AGAUUGAACGCUGGCGGCGUGCUUAACACAUGCAAGUCGUGCGGUAACAGGCGUAGCAAUACGUGCUGACGAGCGGCGAACGGGUGCGUAAUACAUGGGAAUCUGCCUUUUAGUGGGGAAUAACCCGGCGAAAGCCGGGCUAAUGCCGCAUAAGAUCUUCGGAUGAAAGCGGGGGAUCGUAAGACCUCGCGCUGAUAGAUGAGCCCAUGCCGGAUUAGCUA